GAUUAAGGGGGUUCAAGCUCAUUGAUGUUUUGCUGGUUCUUGUCAGAAGAGAUGAUAGAUGAUUGCAACUGUCUCCAAGGUAAUUGCAGAAGAGUCAAAAGCUAGUCCAAUGAAAUGUUGUUUUGAUCUAAGCUCAUCAGGAGGAAGGAAAGCCUUUUCCAUGUUCUGCUAAAAGAAUUGUCUAUGAAAUCUGGUUCACUUUCCCUAAAGAGACAAGGCUAUCAUUAAGGUAUUAAAGAUCAGGAGAGGCAUGUGAACUUUUGGCUAUGGACUUCUUCGUUGAGUACAGUAGAUCCAUUCAAAGAGGCUCCUCUCAUUAAUGAGUGUUCUGUAUCAAGGCAUGUAUUGAACUCUCUUCUUAGGAGGAUUACUCUUACAGUGUAGUUUGUGUUUUAAGAAUCAAAUGUGUAGCAUUCAAUUGGACAUUUAAUUUUUAAUGAACAAAUACAACUGUCGUUAAUAGAGUCAAUUACAUGAAGCUUUUCCAACUUUUUGUUAUAUUUACUUGUAAUCAACUCUGAUGUGGGCCACAGAUGCUCCAUGCCUUUCGCUAUUCAUUCCCAAUUAUGUCGUACUAGGUAUGAAUGUAGACAGAUUGGUCUCUGUAGACAUUACCUUCAAACUUUAACUGUUGUUUAUUAUA